UACGAAGGGGGCUAGCGUUGCUCGGAAUCACUGGGCGUAAAGGGUGCGUAGGCGGGUCUUUAAGUCAGGGUGAAAUCCUGGGCUCAACUCCAGAACUGCCCUUGAUACUGAGGAUCUUGAGUUCGGGAGAGGUGAGUGGAACUGCGAGUGUAGAGGUGAAAUUCGUAGAUAUUCGCAAGAACACCAGUGGCGAAGGCGGCUCACUGGCCCGAUACUGACGCUGAGGCACGAAAGCGUGGGAGCAAACAGG
rnacentral:rRNA from 1 species